UACGUAGGGGGCAAGCGUUGUCCGGAAUCACUGGGCGUAAAGGGUGCGUAGGCGGGUCUUUAAGUCAGGGGCGAAAUCCUGGAGCUCAACUCCAGAACUGCCUUUGAUACUGAAGAUCUUGAGUUCGGGAGAGGUGAGUGGAACUGCGAGUGUAGAGGUGAAAUUCGUAGAUAUUCGCAAGAACACCAGUGGCGAAGGCGGCUCACUGGCCCGAUACUGACGCUGAGGCACGAAAGCGUGGGGAGCAAACAGG
rnacentral:rRNA from 1 species